UUUAUGGAGAGUUUGAUCCUGGCUCAGGAUGAACGCUGGCGGCGUGCCUAAUACAUGCAAGUCGAGCGAACAGACGAGAAG
rnacentral:rRNA from 1 species